AAUAACCAUCUACUUCCCUUACUGAAGAGACCUCAGCUCUGGUGACUGAAAUGACUCACUCUGUCAAAGAGUAUUGAUUGAGGCAUAAAAAAUCGACGAAUGAUUGUGCUUUCUAAAAUUGAUUUACUCUUCUGUCCACUUACCUAGGACUGCUGAGAGCUUCCCUUUUUCUGUGUAAAUUUAUCAAUAUACGGUAACAAUUUGAGUUGUCUCUACUUCUUAGUUACAGUAGGUAGAAUUGUUCUUUACUUCCUAGUUAACAAUCAACACAGGAGAUCUUUUCAUCAGCUCUUUGGCUUCAAGAAUAGGGCCUCACAUUUAAGGUAGCGAUAAUUGCCAAGGUCUUUUGGUGCUAGGAUAAACAUUUCGCCCAAGCUCUUCCAGCCUUAUGAGAUCAAGCUUUAGUGGACUGUAGUAGGAGUUAAAUGACCCCUUUUGGAAGGUGUUGAGGCCUUAGUCAUGACAUUAUGGCCAGCUUGAAAAGAAACUCCUUUUCCUUUAGCUUAUUUUUUGGUAUAAACCUUCGGUGAUAUCAGAAAAUAAAUUCUGCUAGGCUUGUAAUGCUCAUGGCUGUAUGCAAUCCUCUGAUAAUUUAAUAGCAAAAAAUAAAACGUCUUCCUGAAUGCUGAAUGUGCUUCAAAAUUCCUAAGUUUUUCUUCCUAUUGCAAACAUCGCAUGCAUUGCAGAUUUUGUUUUCUUCUAGUCUUUCAGCUCAUAAAUAUUGGGCUUCGAAUCCUGACACCUGAUAGUGACUGGUGUGAAUUCCAAAAUUCAAUUAGGAGAUUAGCCGGGGAAAUAUAUUAAACUGAUUGUCACACUUCCAUGGAAAUCUGCCAAUGAGGAUGGUUGCCUUGGUAUUAUAUUAUACUCGGUCACUCUGUAAUUCUGCAGUUUGAGUCAGAUUUCAAGUUUGAGCUUUUCACAUUGACAAGUGUUUACUUGGUGAGGUCACUUAACUCUCCCACACAGUCCAGCGUAGCAGUGACCUCGCAGGGCUCCAUAACCGUGGCUUUCCAAUAAGCUUUACAUCAUGGUGGAAGUGGAGUUGGGUUUUGUCGAUGACUUCAAAUCUUUGUCACUUAGGAGACGUUUUGCUACCGAUAUGAAGGGGAUAACUUUUCUCCUGAAUAAUUUUUUCCUCCAAGCCAUUUGGCUGGCGAAUAUGGAGGCGGAUAAUUUAUGCCCCGGAGGUGGAUGAAAUGCGAAUUAAUUUUGGGCGGCCUAAAACCUAACUAAAAGUUAUCCGGGAUAAGGGGGUGGGGGAUAAGGAAAAAAAAAAUAUAUAAAGAGAAAUAAAAUGAUAUUUUUUUAUAUAUAUAGAGAAAUAAAAUAUAUAUUUUUAAGAACUGAAAUAUUUUAGAUUUUGUUUCUCUCUAAUUUUUUCCCAUACCUCCACCUUUAUCCACCAUUCUAAAAAAAGAUCAAAACAAAGUUAAAAAUUAUCCCUAUCCAAAAGUUAUCUCCCCAUCUUGAAAAUUUACCUCCUCGAAAAAUUUAGUCCCUCACAUAUUUCCAGCCAAACGAGUUUAAAUCUUAAUUUAGAGGUCGUGACUCGUCAAGAUACAACAAUGAUAUAUCUAAACCGGACUCAAGCCCAAACUGACCUACGUAUUUGAUUAUAGUUGGUAGCUGUGUGGAGCUCGUGAAAAAUGUUAAUCAAAAUCAACCAUGACUCGGUAAAAGUGCUGAAUUCGGUAAAACCAACCACUUUGUUCCCCAAUUUUGCACUAAAAGUGCUGAAUUUGUUCCCCUUUUUCACCCCGAUAUGGGGGUAUGGCGAUGUGACGGGGUUAGAAAAUUUGUUGGUAAAUUUACCCUUCAUCUCUUUUCUUUCUCUUUCACCCAUUAAUUUUUUUUGAAUACCAUCUCUUGGUUAUUUAUUAAAAAAAAAUUGAUCCAAAUUUUUUAAUUUUUUUUUUACUUUCACCUUCUAAAUUUUUAUAUAAUUUUUUUAAACACAUAAAAAUUUAUUUAUUAAUUUUUUAAAUACAAUCUCUUUUUCCGAAUUUAAAAAAAAUUUAAACACUUAAAAUUUAGGGUUUUGUGUUUUUACAGUCUCGGUUGACAAGCUUUAACUCAAAUCUGGGGGGGUUUGAAUGUUGAUCAGGACAGUGAUUAGGGGUUCAUAUAUGGGAAUCAAAGAAAACCAACAUGGCUUGUGUUUGAUUAUUCCUUCAAAGUUGCUAGCUGAGUUCGAGAGAUGAGAUAAGGUUUUGCAUUAAAAUUUAUAAAUUGAGAGAAAUUUAAAUAAUAUUAUAAAUCUUGAUCUAUAUAUAUUUUUUUAUAAAAAACAUAAGGUGAGAAUAAAAAAAAUUAUAAAAUUUUAUCAUAAUUUUUUUUUGGUAUAAAAUUUCGAAAGAUGAAAGUAAAAAAAAAUAAAAAUUUUUGAUUAAUUUUUUUAUAAUAAAUAACAAAAAAGUGGUAUUAAAAUAAAAAAAAAUAAUAAAGAGAUGAAUGACAAAUUUAUAAUUCGAAAAAGAAUUAUGAUCAGAUUAAAAAC
rnacentral:lncRNA from 1 species